AGUAAAUGUGUUUUUACUUUCUAUAUUUGGAGUCCGCUCGUCAAUUCGCUCAAUUUUCCAUUCAUAUUUCCUGAUAUUUUCAACAGCUCACUGUCUAUGAGUUACAGAUGAACAUACAAGUGUAUUGGGUUCCUCGACCUCUCUCAUCAAAAGGCACUUCCUGCUCUGGGUUCCAGAGCCCCUACACCUGUGGGUGUGGCCAUCCUAGCUCCGCCCACCAGACACUGGUGAAGACUAUGGUGCAACGGGGGCCCGGGGUCGGCAGUGACUUUGCAUACGCAGCCAUGGGGGUAUAAUGGGGUUCAGCUCCCUGGCUGACAGGUACACUGGAUGACAGCGGGGCAGGGAGACCUCCAGGCAGCAUCACAGACUCAUUGACAAGAGACAGG
ensembl:lncRNA